rnacentral:rRNA from 1 species
UUCGGGUCUAGUGGCGCACGGGUGCGUAACGCGUGGGAAUCUGCCCUUAGGUUCGGAAUAACUCAGGGAAACUUGAGCUAAUACCGGAUAAUGACUUCGGUCCAAAGAUUUAUCGCCUAAGGAUGAGCCCGCGUAGGAUUAGCUUGUUGGUGAGGUAAAGGCUCACCAAGGCUACGAUCCUUAGCUGGUCUGAGAGGAUGAUCAGCCACACUGGGACUGAGACACGGCCCAGACUCCUACGGGAGGCAGCAGUGGGGAAUAUUGGACAAUGGGCGAAAGCCUGAUCCAGCAAUGCCGCGUGAGUGAUGAAGGCCUUAGGGUUGUAAAGCUCUUUUACCCGGGAUGAUAAUGACAGUACCGGGAGAAUAAGCUCCGGCUAACUCCGUGCCAGCAGCCGCGGUAAUACGGAGGGAGCUAGCGUUGUUCGGAAUUACUGGGCGUAAAGCGCACGUAGGCGGCUUUGUAAGUUAGAGGUGAAAGCCCGGAGCCCAACUCCGGAAUUGCCUUUAAGACUGCAUCGCUUGAAUCCAGGAGAGGUGAGUGGAAUUCCGAGUGUAGAGGUGAAAUUCGUAGAUAUUCGGAAGAACACCAGUGGCGAAGGCGGCUCACUGGACUGGUAUUGACGCUGAGGUGCGAA